rnacentral:rRNA from 1 species
CAAUAGCGUAUAUUAAAGUUGUUGCAGUUAAAAAGCUCGUAGUUGGAUUUCUUGGAGGGUGCCAAUGUCCGCUACGGCGUGCGCAGCGGCGCCCUUCCAUCCUUCUGUUAACGCCUCUUGGCAUUCGUUUGCUGGUGGCGGGCUCAGAUAUUUUACCUUGAGAAAAUUAGAGUGUUUCAGGCAGGCUAGGCCGGAAUACAUUAGCAUGGAAUAAUGGAACAGGGCUAUGGUCUCUUUGUUGGUUUGAGGGACUGCAGUAAUGAUUAAUAGGGACAGUUGGGGGCAUUAGUAUUUAAUUGUCAGAGGUGGAAUUCUCAGAUUUGUUAAAGACUAACUUAUGCGAAAGCAUUUGCCAAGGAUGUUUUCAUUAA